rnacentral:rRNA from 1 species
UACGUAGGGUCCGAGCGUUGUCCGGAAUUAUUGGGCGUAAAGGGCUCGUAGGCGGUUUGUCACGUCGGGAGUGAAAGCUCAGGGCUCAACCCUGAGCGUGCUUCCGAUACGGGCAGACUAGAGGUAUGCAGGGGAGAACGGAAUUCCUGGUGUAGCGGUGGAAUGCGCAGAUAUCAGGAGGAACACCGGUGGCGAAGGCGGUUCUCUGGGCAUUACCUGACGCUGAGGAGCGAAAGCAUGGGGAGCGAACAGG